rnacentral:rRNA from 1 species
GAUGAACGCUGGCGGCGUGCCUAAUACAUGCCAGUCGAGCGAACAGACGAUGCGCUUGCUCCUCUCACGUUUGCGGCGGACGGGUGAGUCACACGUGUAUCACCUACCUAUCAUACUGGUAUAACUUCGGGACACCGGCUCUUAUACCGGAGAAUAUAUUGAACCGCAUGGGUCAAUGGUAAAAUUCGGUUUUUGUGUAUCUUCUCGCUGCAUCCGGGCCGCAUUAGAUAGUUGUGAAGGUAACGGGUUACCAAGGCAACGAUGCGUAGCCGACCGGACGGGGUGGUCGGCGACACUGGAAGUGAGACGGGGUCCAGAGUCCUACGGGAGGGAGCAGUAGGGAACCGGCCGCAAUGGGCGAAAGCCUGACGGAGCAACGGGGCGUGAGUGAUGAAGGUCUUGGGAGCGUAAAACUGGGUUAUUGGGGAAGAACAAAUGUGGAAGUAGCUAUGCACGGCUUGACGGUACCUGGUAAGAAAGCCCCGGCUAACUACGUG